UACAGAGGUCUCAAGCGUUGUUCGGAUUCAUUGGGCGUAAAGGGCGCGUAGGUGGCCUGAUAAGUCGGGGGUGAAACGCUGCGGCUCAACCGCAGCACUGCCUUCGAGACUGUCAGGCUUGAGCACGGUAGAGGCUGGUGGAAUUCCCGGUGUAGCGGUGGAAUGCGUAGAGAUCGGGAAGAACAUCGGUGGCGAAGGCGGCCAGCUGGGCCGUUGCUGACACUGAGGCGCGACAGCGUGGGGAGCAAACAGG
rnacentral:rRNA from 1 species